rnacentral:rRNA from 1 species
AUUGAACGCUGGCGGCAUGCCUUACACAUGCAAGUCGAACGGCAGCACGGGAGUAAUCCUGGUGGCGAGUGGCGAACGGGUGAGUAAUAUAUCGGAACGUGCCUAGUUGUGGGGGAUAACGCAGCGAAAGCUGUGCUAAUACCGCAUACGAUCUAUGGAUGAAAGCGGGGGAUCGCAAGACCUCGCGCAAUUAGAGCGGCCGAUAUCAGAUUAGCUAGUUGGUGGGGUAAAAGCCCACCAAGGCGACGAUCUGUAGCUGGUCUGAGAGGACGACCAGCCACACUGGAACUGAGACACGGUCCAGACUCCUACGGGAGGCAGCAGUGGGGAAUUUUGGACAAUGGGCGCAAGCCUGAUCCAGCAAUGCCGCGUGCAGGAUGAAGGCCUCCGGGUUGUAAACUGCUUUUGUACGGAGCGAAAAGGUUCUUUUUAAUACAGAGAGCUCAUGACGGUACCGUAAGAAUAAGCACCGGCUAACUACGUGCCAGCCGCCGCGGUAAUAC